rnacentral:rRNA from 1 species
CGAAUACGAGACGCUACGGCGUCGAAGUAGUGUAUGUCAUACUUCCAAGAAAAGCUUGCACUGUCAUAAAUAAAAGAUGCCUGUACCAUAACCGACACAGGUGGGUAGGUAGAGUAUACUAAGGGGCGCGAGAUAACUCUCUCUAAGGAACUCGGCAAAAUAACUCCGUAACUUCGGGAGAAGGAGUGCCUUAUUUAAAUAAGGUUGCAAUAACAAGAUCCAAGCAACUGUUUACCAAAAACACAGGUCUCCGCUAAGUCGUAAGACGAUGUAUGGGGGCUGACGCCUGCCCAGUGCCAGAAGGUUAAAGAAGUUGGUUAGCAUCUGCGAAGCUGGUAACUGAAGCCCUGGUGAACGGCGGCCGUAACUAUAACGGUCCUAAGGUAGCGAAAUUCCUUGUCGGGUAAGUUCCGACCCGCACGAAAGGCGUAAUGAUUUGGAUACUGUCUCGGAGAGGGGCUCGGUGAAAUAGACUUGUCUGUGAAGAUGCGGACUACCUGCACCUGGACAGAAAGACCCUAUGAAGCUUUACUGUAACUUGAAAUUGAAAUUGGACUUUAUUCGCGCAGUAUAGGUGGGAGGCGUUGAAAAUACUCUUGCGGGAGUAUUGGAGCUAUCAGUGAGAUACCACUCUUAUAAUGUUAGAUUUCUAACUUUGAACCAUUAUCUGGUCAAAGAACAGUUUCAGGCGGGCAGUUUGACUGGGGCGGUCGCCUCCCAAACGGUAACGGAGGCGUACAAAGGUUUCCUCUGAACGGAUAGAAAUCGUAUCUAGAGUAUAAAGGCAUAAGGAAGCUUGACUGUGAGACCUACAAGUCGAGCAGGGACGAAAGUCGGUCUUAGUGAUCUGACGGUACUGAGUGGAAAGGCCGUCACUCAACGGAUAAAAGUUACUCUAGGAUAACAGGCUGAUCUCCCCCAAGAGUUCACAUCGACGGGGAGGUUUGGCACCUCGAUGUCGGCUCAUCGCAUCCUGGGGCGGUAGUACGUCCCAAGGGUUGGGCUGUUCGCCCAUGAAAGCGGUACGCGAGCUGGGUUCAGAACGUCGUGAGACAGUUCGGUCCAUAUCCGGUGUAGGCGUUAGAAUAUUAGAGGAGCCUUCUCUAGUACGAGAGGACCGAGAAGGACAUACCUCUGGUGUACCAGUUAUCGUGCCAACGGUAAACGCUGGGUAGCUAUGUAUGGAGUGGAUAACCGCUGAAAGCAUCUAAGUGGGAAGCCCACCUCAAGAUAAGUAUUCUCAUC